CAGCAGCCACGGUAAUACGAAGGGGGCUAGCGUUGUUCGGAAUUACUGGGCGUAAAGGGCGCGUAGGCGGCCAUUCAAGUUAGAUGUGAAAGCCCUGGGCUCAACCUAGGAAUUGCAUUUGAUACUGUUUGGCUUGAGUUCGGGAGAGGUGAGUGGAAUUCCCAGUGUAGAGGUGAAAUUCGUAGAUAUUGGGAAGAACACCAGUGGCGAAGGCGGCUCACUGGACCGACACUGACGCUGAGGCGCGAAAGCGUGGGGAGCAAACAGGAUUAGAUACCCCUGUAGUCCCUGUCUCUUAUAC
rnacentral:rRNA from 1 species